UCUAAGAGGAUUGAUCAACCACACUGGGACUGAGACACGGCCCAGACCUCUACGGAGGCCAGCAGUGAGGAAGGUUCCGCAAUGGGCAGCAAGCCGGACGGAGACAAUGCCGCGUGGAAGAUGAAGGCUCUCUGGGCUCGUAUACUCCUUUUCUUAGCGAAGUUAUAUAGAACGGUAGCUAAGGAAUAAGCAUCGGCUAAUUCCGUGCCAGCAGCCGCGGUAAUACGGAAGAUAGCGAGCGUUAUUCAGUAAUUAUUGGGCGUAAAGCGUCUGUAGGUGGCUUAUUUAAGUCUACUGUUAAAUAUCAAGGCUUAUACCUUGAAUAAAGCGGUCUGAAACUAAAAAGCUUGAGUUUAGUAGAGGUAAAGGGAAUUCUCGGUGUAGUGGUGAAAUGCGUAGAUAUCGGGAAGAACAUCCUGCGGCGAAUAGCGCUUUACUGGGCUAGAAACUGACACCUGAGAGACGAAAGUCUAGGGGAGCGAACUAGGACUUAGUAUACCCCUAGUAGUCCUAGCCUGUAAACCGAUGGAUACCUAAGUGUUGGACAACAUAAAAGUUCAGUGCUGUAGCUAACGCGUUAAGUAGUCCCGCUCUGGGAAGUAUGCUCGCCAAGAGUAAAACUCAAAGGGUAUUGAUCGG
rnacentral:rRNA from 1 species